AGGGUUUGAUUAUGGCUCAGAACGUACGCUGGCGGCACGCCUAACACAUGCAAGUCGAACGAAGUAGCAAUACUUAGUGGCAGACGGGUGAGUAACAUGUAGGUAUCUGCCCUUUGGCCUGGAAUAACACGAGGAAACUUGUGCUAAUACCGGAUAAGUCUUUACGGAGAAAGCUUUAUGCACCAUUGGAUGAGCCUGCACUUGAUUAGUUUGUUGGUGGGGUAAUGGCCUACCAAGACUGUGAUCAAUAGCUGAUUUGAGAGGAUGAUCAGCCACAUUGGGACUGAGACACGGCCCAAACUCCUACGGGAGGCAGCAGUGGGGAAUCUUGCACAAUGGAGGAAACUCUGAUGCAGCGAUGCCGCGUGAGUGAAGAAGGCCUUUGGGUUGUAAAGCUCUUUCGUCGGGGAAGAAAAUGACUGUACCCGAAUAAGAAGGUCCGGCUAACUUCGUGCCAGCAGCCGCGGUAAUAC
rnacentral:rRNA from 1 species